UUGGAGGAUUUGAAUACUUCAACUUGUGUACUUGGAGGAUUUGAAGACUUCAUCUUGAAUACUUGGAGGAUUUGAAGAAUUCUACU
rnacentral:pre_miRNA from 1 species